rnacentral:rRNA from 1 species
UACAGAGGGGGCGAGCGUUGCUCGGAAUCACUGGGCGUAAAGGGUGCGUAGGCGGGUCUUUAAGUCAGGGGUGAAAUCCUGGGGCUCAACUCCAGAACUGCCUUUGAUACUGAGGAGCUUGAGUUCGGGAGAGGUGAGUGGAACUGCGAGUGUAGAGGUGAAAUUCGUAGAUAUUCGCAAGAACACCAGUGGCGAAGGCGGCUCACUGGCCCGAUACUGACGCUGAGGCACGAAAGCGUGGGGAGCAAACAGG